CCUACGGGUGGCUGCAGUAGGGAAUAUUGCGCAAUGGGCGAAAGCCUGACGCAGCAACGCCGCGUGAGUGAUGAAGGCUUUCGGGUCGUAAAGCUCUGUCGUAAGGGAAAAAAUGUUCAUGGCUAACAUCCAUGAGCUUUGAUGGUACCUUACAAGAAAGCACCGGCUAACUACGUGCCAGCAGCCGCGGUAAUACGUAGGGUGCGAGCGUUGUUCGGAAUUACUGGGCGUAAAGCGCUUGUAGGUGGCUCUAUAAGUCAGAUGUGAAAGCCUGG
rnacentral:rRNA from 1 species